GACGAACGUUUGCGGCGUGCUUAACACAUGCAAGUCGAACGGAAAGGCCCUGCUUUUGUGGGGUGCUCGAGUGGCGAACGGGUGAGUAACACGUGAGUAACCUGCCCUUGACUUUGGGAUAACCUCAGGAAACUGGGGCUAAUACCGGAUAGGAGCUCCUGCUGCAUGGUGGGGGUUGGAAAGUUUCGGCGGUUGGGGAUGGACUCGCGGCUUAUCAGCUUGUUGGUGGGGUAGUGGCUUACCAAGGCUUUGACGGGUAGCCGGCCUGAGAGGGUGACCGGCCACAUUGGGACUGAGAUACGGCCCAGACUCCUACGGGAGGCAGCAGUGGGGAAUAUUGCACAAUGGGCGGAAGCCUGAUGCAGCAACGCCGCGUGCGGGAUGACGGCCUUCGGGUUGUAAACCGCUUUCGCCUGUGACGAAGCGUGAGUGACGGUAAUGGGUAAAGAAGCACCGGCUAACUACGUGCCAGCAGCCGCGGUGAUACGUAGGGUGCGAGCGUUGUCCGGAUUUAUUGGGCGUAAAGGGCUCGUAGGUGGUUGAUCGCGUCGGAAGUGUAAUCUUGGGGCUUAACCCUGAGCGUGCUUUCGAUACGGGUUGACUUGAGGAAGGUAGGGGAGAAUGGAAUUCCUGGUGGAGCGGUGGAAUGCGCAGAUAUCAGGAGGAACACCAGUGGCGAAGGCGGUUCUCUGGGCCUUUCCUGACGCUGAGGAGCGAAAGCGUGGGGAGCGAACAGGCUUAGAUACCCUGGUAGUCCACGCUGUAAACGGUGGGUACUAGGUGUGGGGUCCAUUCCACGGGUUCCGUGCCGUAGCUAACGCUUUAAGUACCCCGCCUGGGGAGUACGGCCGCAAGGCUAAAACUCAAAGGAAUUGACGGGGCCCCGCACAAGCGGCGGAGCAUGCGGAUUAAUUCGAUGCAACGCGUAGAACCUUACCUGGGUUUGACAUGGAUCGGGAGUGCUCAGAGAUGGGUGUGCCUCUUUUGGGGUCGGUUCACAGGUGGUGCAUGGCUGUCGUCAGCUCGUGUCGUGAGAUGUUGGGUUAAGUCCCGCAACGAGCGCAACCCUUGUUCACUGUUGCCAGCACGUUAUGGUGGGGACUCAGUGGAGACCGCCGGGGUCAACUCGGAGGAAGGUGGGGAUGACGUCAAGUCAUCAUGCCCCUUAUGUCCAGGGCUUCACGCAUGCUACAAUGGCUGGUACAGAGAGUGGCGAGCCUGUGAGGGUGAGCGAAUCUCGGAAAGCCGGUCUCAGUUCGGAUUGGGGUCUGCAACUCGACCUCAUGAAGUCGGAGUCGCUAGUAAUCGCAGAUCAGCAACGCUGCGGUGAAUACGUUCCCGGG
rnacentral:rRNA from 1 species